UCGCUAAAGGGUGCUCGGGAGGCUACGCCGUAAAACAAACCCAUUUCUAAGGUUGACCUCGGAUCAGGUAGGGAUACCCGCUGAACUUAAGCAUAUCAAUAAGCGGAGGAA
rnacentral:rRNA from 1 species